rnacentral:lncRNA from 1 species
GUGGUUUUGCUUUUGAUUUUAAUGCUUGGGCUGCCCCAGGUGUAUAUGUGAGAGUAUUUCUCGGAAGACACUGGCCUGUGAGUGGGUGAACUGAGUGGAGAAGCUCCACCCUCAAUGCAGGCAGGCACCAUUUAAUCAGCUGGGGGCCUGGAGAGAAAAGGCAGAGGAAGGGCAAAUUAUUUUUCUCUUUCUUUUGGAGCCAGGAUGUUUUUCUCCUUCCAUUGGAUGUCAGAAAGCUAGGUUCUCCAGCUUUUGGACUCUGGGAUUUGCACCAGAGCCUGCCCCCGGCAACCCCGACUCAGGCUUUUGGCCUUGAAAUGAGUUAUGCCAUCAGCUUAUUUAUUUGUAAGGCCUUCGGACUUGAACUGUGCCACAUCCUCAGCUUUCCAGAUUCUCCAGUUCGGACGACCCUUUGUGGAACUUCUCAGCCUCCAUGAUCAUAUAAGUCGACAUUUUCACUGGACCGAUUGGACUGAAAAGGCAAGAUUGAAUGAGGUUUUGGUAUCAGGAUGAUGCUGGCCUAAUAGACUGAGAUACAAAGGAGUCCUUCCUCCUCCAUUUUGUGGAAUAAUUUCAGUAGGAAUGGAUAAACAGUAUUGCUGCUCUGAAGACAGCUUGAGUAACACUGUUCUUGGACAUUGAUGGGCUUGUCUAAUUAAGGGAGAAAAAUCGAUCUUCUGUGAGAACACAUUGAGCUAAUAUGGAAAGAGAAGCAGAGAAGACAGAUGAUAAGAACGUCUUGAUGCUGGUUGAGUCUCCUCUGCAUCCAGUCAUUCCUGAAGCCAGCUCUGAUUCUUCCCCCUCCACCACCGAAAACGAUGGAGGAAGAAAGAAG